GGAAUUUCCGUCGCCGUAAGCGCAGAUUUCGCACAGUUUACCGGUGAAUCCGUGCUCGCACGUUUCGCCGCAGCAAGAGAUGAUCCAGGCUUCACUGAAAUCAAAGGAAGCAAAAAAAAGACUGAUUUUAUCAGCUGAAAAGGUUUCGGCGAAAUUCGACGUCCUGAGCGCCUUCCCUUUCCUCCGGUCAUGAGAGGUGUCUGUCGCAGUCCACAUGUUCGACGAAUUGACGAGCUGAAAAAAGAAGGUAUUUUUUAGCUGGAAAUUUUGUGGUUUGCGUUUGUUUGAUGAAUUACUCCUUUUUGAGAAGUUGGGGGAAAUGGAUGAUGGAAAAUUGGGAGUAAAUAGGAAAAGGGGAAGUUAGGCGAGUAGUAUAUGGAGUAGAAUUACAUGUGCUUGAAUUUUGAUAUUAUUUGAAUUUGUGUGAUGGAGGAAAGAAUGUGUGUUGUGUUCAUUAAA